UCAUCAUGUGGGAUAAUGUUUACCUAUUACUCCAUAUGGAGAGCAAGCAGAUUAGGAAAUGAUGAUUGGAGCUCACAUGAUAUGUGAUUAUACAUUUCUGUGUAAUCAGGACUUGCAACAAAAGUGAUCCAUGUAACCAAAA
rnacentral:snoRNA from 1 species